AUUGAACGCUGGCGGCAUGCCUUACACAUGCAAGUCGAACGGUAACAGGUCUUCGGAUGCUGACGAGUGGCGAACGGGUGAGUAAUACAUCGGAACGUGCCCGAUCGUGGGGGAUAACGGAGCGAAAGCUUUGCUAAUACCGCAUACGAUCUAUGGAUGAAAGCGGGGGAUCGCAAGACCUCGCGCGAUUGGAGCGGCCGAUAUCAGAUUAGGUAGUUGGUGGGGUAAAGGCUCACCAAGCCGACGAUCUGUAGCUGGUCUGAGAGGACGACCAGCCACACUGGGACUGAGACACGGCCCAGACUCCUACGGGAGGCAGCAGUGGGGAAUUUUGGACAAUGGGCGCAAGCCUGAUCCAGCCAUGCCGCGUGCAGGAUGAAGGCCUUCGGGUUGUAAACUGCUUUUGUACGGAACGAAAAGGUUUGGCCUAAUACGCUGAACUCAUGACGGUACCGUAAGAAUAAGCACCGGCUAACUACGUGCCAGCCGCCGCCGUAAAAC
rnacentral:rRNA from 1 species